AGAUGUUGUGGGUCACAGCGAGGCUCGGAUUCAUGAAAUCUCAGUUAGAGCUUUACUGAAAGCUGUAGGGCAGGGGGUCUAAUUUCAGGAUGACCUCAACUCCUGUGUCAUACUUUUCUUCUGAUAAGCAAGUGGUCUAAAGAGGAUGCCUGAAAAGGAAAAGGCUGACCUGAGGUGUCCACAUCCAGUUUUUAAUGCCAAAACACAGAAGAUGCAUUGCAGUGCUACAAUACAUAUUUGUUAGUUUGAAUUGAGUGCCAGAAAGAUUUUUUCAGACAUGUAACAUCAUCUAUUGUGCUGAGUCUGGGCACCAGCUGGCAGACCUUUGUGAUAUCAUUCUGAUUUCAUGAUGAAACACUGAUGCAAAGCAAUGAAACAGAUGCAAAGCAAUGAUAACUAAAGUCAGCUAAACUGAGAUAACAAGACUGAACCUAAGAGUCAAAGGUAAAGCAAAGGUUCAUAUAGUGUGGCCCAAAAACAUAAAGAAAAUGAGUGUGAUGGCAGCCAUGGCAAUGCCACCUUGGGGUCCCAGCCUAUUCUGCUGCCUUUGUGCUCACAUUUGUUCUGAUCACACACCAGAAAAGGACUGAGCAUUGACACUGUUUAAUGUCAGUGUCCAUGGGGGUAUCUGGAGUUUGCACAAAAGUGUUUCUGUGGUCAAGACACAGAAGUUGAAAUUAUGAACCCUGACUCCAAGGCCUCUGUUGGAGCUCUAGAAGUAAUCCUCCAAAUGGAACCCAUUCCUCCCGCAGAGGAGGGAACCAAUCAAAGCAUGCAUCAGCUGCAAAGCUUACAUUGUAAAAUGUGUGAAUGGGAGAACAACUAGUUGACAAAACAGAUAUUUUCCCUUCUGGCUUUUUGAUUUAAUGAGAAAAUGAUAAAUAAUCUUUCCCAGCAGUCCUAUUUUUCAAAGAGACAUGCUAUUGCAGGAAAGAAGCAGAGAUUCUCUUCAAAAAUAGAGAAGAUGAGAGCUUUGUGACCAAUGAUAUUCAGUAGGCAAUGCCUGGAAUAUUAAGUCCUCUUUUUUCAAAAGGUAAGGAAGAAAGCAAAAUGAUAAAUGAAAAAAAAAAAAAAAAAAGCCAUGCCUUGCUUAAAAAUGUUAAUUUGUCCAAAGAGGGUAUUUCAAACGUGAGCCCCCAGGAGAGCAGGCACACGUACAGGGAGGAAACACACUGUAAUUUUGAAUUUAGAUUUUCCGAGUUGUCUAAGUCAUCAAACAACUAUUAUUGGGAUAAAUAACAGCCAUUGUAUGUCUUUUCACCACAAAAGGGAAAUUGAU